AUCCCAUGAUGAGGAUAGGUGACGAAGUACACUUGCAAACGUUCCCACGCCUCGGGGAUGAACUCAUCCCUCGUCUGCUGCUAGCUUGAGAUUCUCCCACGAAGGGC
rnacentral:snoRNA from 1 species